GGGUUGUGAGGUUAAGCGACUAAGCGUACACGGUGGAUGCCCUGGCAGUCAGAGGCGAUGAAGGACGUGCUAAUCUGCGAUAAGCGUCGGUAAGGUGAUAUGAACCGUUAUAACCGGCGAUUUCCGAAUGGGGAAACCCAGUGUGAUUCGUCACACUAUCAUUAACUGAAUCCAUAGGUUAAUGAGGCGAACCGGGGGAACUGAAACAUCUAAGUACCCCGAGGAAAAGAAA
rnacentral:rRNA from 1 species